rnacentral:rRNA from 1 species
GGUAAUUCUGGAGCUAAUACAUGCAUAAAAGAUUAUACAUUUUUAUGUAUAAUUGCGUAUAUUAGUAUUAAAACCAAGCAUUCUUCGGGAUGUUUUGUGUUGAACCUGAAUAUAUCUGCUGAUCGUAUGGUCUUGUACCGACGAUAUGUCAUUCAAGUGUCUGAUCUAUCAACUUUCUAUAUAAGUAUAUAGUACUUAUAUGGUUUUGACGGAUAACGGAGUAUUAGGGUACGACUCCGGAGAAAAUGCCUGAGAAACGGCGUUUACAUCCAAGGAAGGCAGCAGGCGCGAAAAUUACCCACUCUCAGUUCGAGGAGGUAGUGACGAGAAAUGACAAGAUCUAUUCCUUCGGGGAUGGAUCAUUGGAAUGGUUUGAUUUUAAAAUCAUUAAAGAGUAUCAAUGAGAGGGCAA